GGAGGUGGAGAGCUAGAAAUGAAAAUACCGGAAAGGGGGAAGAUUUUCUCAGUUCCAGCAAUGUCACAUACAAAACAAAGAAUCUACAGUCCCCCACUUUAUGUAUCACCACAUGUUUGUCUAGCCAGUCGACUGCUUUCUGACCUGUUUAUCACUUACAUGAGCCAGGCUGUUGUCUCAGGUCCCCACUUCUGAAGCUGAAUGAACUUACUGAAUAAAAGAAGAACUGGCUUGAACUUCUGCCUGAAAUGAACCUGAGCCUCGAUUGUUUGAGCACUGAAAAAAUGAGUGUAAAUUUUAAUUAUUUCUGUUUUCAUUGACAACACAUUGCACUUACAGGAACGUCUCAAUGAACGGUGGGAUUUGCAGCUGUUGUUUAAAGUCAUUAUUGUAAGGAAAGGAAAGCAGGGUACUUAAUUAACCAUAGAAGCUUGACAUUUCAAGAGAACAGUCCUCCAUACCUAUCUCAGGGGGUGAUUGAGAAACUGGGAAAUCUGAUAAAAAAGAGACAAAUAAAUACUCCCCCCCUCCCCUUUCUGAUUCAUUAAAGGGUGAAUAGGCCAGUUAGUGAUUAGGUAAAUAUUACUCACUGAAGUAAAACCUAUUUGAGACUGUAUAUCAGCAUGAUGUGUAUUGAAGAGAGUGGAGAUGGUGGUGGGGACUGUAGGGUCUGUAAAAGAAAUGAUUAAUUAUGUAUCCUCUUGCUGUCUGGUGAUAUGACCUGGGAGAUGAACCAAAUUAUUAAAUCAAGUGAUGUCACACUAGAAAGAAAAUUGAAAAUAAAACAUACUGGCUCAGAUCAACCUCUCGUGUGGAAAGAAAUGCAGC